UACGUAGGGACCAAGCGUUGUUCGGAUUUACUGGGCGUAAAGGGCGCGUAGGCGGCUCUGAUCAUCGGAUGUGAAAGGCCUGGGCUCAACCUGGGAAUGGCAUCCGAUACGGCGGGGCUGGAGUGUGGGAGAGGUUGGUGGAAUUCCCAGUGUAGAGGUGAAAUUCGUAGAUAUUGGGAAGAACACCGGUGGCGAAGGCGGCCAACUGGACCACAACUGACGCUGAGGCGCGAAAGCGUGGGGAGCAAACAGG
rnacentral:rRNA from 1 species